GAUUUAUAUGCCUUAAUUCUAUGUACAAUAUUAAGGCCUUUACAGGUAAAUCUCAGGCAAAAAAACCCAUGAGAUGCAAGAUGGGAUGCCAGUGACAUCAAAUGAGGAAGAUUCAUAUCUCCUGACGCUCCAUGUCCUGGGUCCCAGAACAAAGAUAACACGCUGCAGCAGAUAUGAACCCGAAAGUAAAGUCUGGAGUCCAGCCUCAUCCGGCCAAGAUCUAAGCCACUGAAGAACCAAAAAUGCUGGCCUGAAGAACCCAAGAGCAUGAAAUGUUAGGCCACUGAGAUCUGGGGACUGUUAUACAGCAUUCCUUCCUAUGGAAGAGAUCUCUUAUUAUUCAAGGUAUAACCAACACCAAGAUCUCCAUUAUCCAUCUAUUUUUUCCUGUUAACAUUUAUUCAUUCAUUCAUGGAAUACUGAUAAUAACAGAGUUCAAAGUUCAAAAGGUACCAAAAAUAUACAGUGAAGUGUCCCUCAUUCCAUUUUUGCCUUGCUACCCAGAUCCCUUCUCCAAAGUCAACCAAUAUUACCUGCUUCUUCCAUAUCUUUCCAGAUAUUUUAUACAUAUAUACACACACACCCCUUUUUUUAAUAAACUCAUAUUUUUCUGAAUCCCCCACCACCUAACAUACAUCUUUUGUUUACUCUUUUCUCUAUACAAUGAGCUUCUUUCAUUGUGUUUUAUGGCUGCAGAAUAUCCCAAGGGAAGGUUGUGCAUGAUAUAUUUCACCAACCAUCACUGACACUGAUUCUAAUCUUUUGCUAAAAUACUGCAAUGAAUGGUAUGCACCUUACUUUCUCACGUGUGUAGACCAAUUUUAAUAACUUUGUGGGAGAGGAACUGCUGUAUCAAAGGGUAUAUUCACUUGCAAUUAUAUUUUUUAAGGAAUACAUUCGAUUUCUGAAUAGGUAAUAUUUGCAUAUGUUACAAAAUUUUUAAAGGACAAACAUGUAAAUAGUUAACCCUCCUCACAUUCUUUUCCUCCAGCCAUGGAGUUUCCUUUCCCAGAAGUAACCACUGUGACCAACUUGUUUUUUUUUAAGGUUUGUUUGCAGGGGUGGGGGGAAGGGGGCAGAGAGAGGAGGAGAGAAUCCCAAGCAGGCUCCAUGCUCAGCAUACAGCCUGAUGGGAGGGCUCGAUCACCCCCUGACCCCAUGAGGUCAGGACCUGCGGCAAAAUCAAGAGUCGGGCGCUUAACUGAGCCUCCCAGGCGCCCCCACUGUGAUCCGCUUACUAUCUUUCCACACGUGUGUGUUAUGUGUCCAGAAAAGUUUUCUGACUUGAGCCUGAGGGGAAUCAGUCUGGCUACAAAAAUCCUGGGGUUUCGGUGGGGGGAGGAGGAGAAUAAAGGACUUCAGGCUUCAGCGUCCCUGCCUUCAAAAACACAGCCCCCUAGUUAACUGUGCCUGAGGUCCCCUGGUUCAAAGCUCCCGGCCUCUGUUCUCCCAAGAGCCUCCCGCCUUCUAGUGGGAGAAGGCAGUCACCCAACAGUGUGAAACCGGGAAGGAGAUGCGCACAUCUAAUUACCUCUGCAACAGAUUUCACCUAGGUGCACCCCCAACACCACUUCCUUCGCUGGCAGCUGCCAGUUUGUGUGUUUUGUAUUCAACUGUUCCACACUGUUCCUUGCCGCAGGUUUAGAAUUACGCUGUUUGCUAAGAACAUUUGCCUUCCGGACCCCACUACUUUACUGCUAUCGUUUCCUUUCCCAUUCUCUCCAUCGUUUGAAUUGAAGUCUUCUAAAAAAAAAAAAAAAAAAAAAAAAACCCUUUACCGUAAUUUUAGUGAGAUUCCAGGAGCCAGUAUUCAAUCCACUUUCUUGGCCUAGAAUGCUCUACUCUCCCGAAACCACCUGGAUGUUUGGGUUCUUUCGGAGAAACUCUACGGCCUGCCAGGUUUCCGGAUGAACAGUCCACUCCUCACAGCUGGUGCCCUUGUUCUCCACCGGCUACUUCGGUUACCAACGAAACUGUUCUGGGAUACGGUGCAACCCGGUCUCCGCAGUCUGGGUUACGACCUCUGGUUUCGCAUUCGGACAGGGCAGGGCAGGGCAGCAGUCUGGCUCUGCCCCAAGGUCUUCAACUGUAAAAGGAGAGCCACAGGGAUACCCUGAGGACGAAUCUGCAGUUUCCGUACUUGGCGAGCAUUCCGGAGGGACUUGUACGACGACCACGAAUACCGGGGGCGCAAGAGGCGAUCACGUCUCGUGCUCAAGGACCGACACGCCACGACCACCCCAACUUCCAACCGAAAAACUGCGCGGGCAUCGUCCAGUGUGUCCACAGCGGUGCGCUGGAGGUCACGGGCGAGCAAACACGUGAAGAGUUUAAGUCUUCCGGAGGCCGAUGACCUGGCCGGGUGGGUGCACACCAGACAGCACGCGGGACCAGGGCAGAAAUUCGGAGCGACCCCCCCCACCCCCCCGCCAAGAAUUUAGGGUUCCAAGGCACCUGUGAGAACCCUCUCGUGCACUCAACCGGCGCGCGUGCGCGGGGUGCGCGGUGGCCGCCCCCCGCCCCCGGGGCCCGGCGCGACCCCCUCACAGCUCCGGCCGCUUCGGCUCUCCCCGCCCGAGCCGUCCCCUCACUGCGGCCUCCCCAACGGCCAGGAGGGCGAAACCCCGGCGGUCGGGCCCGCGGGCACCGCACUUACACCCAACGCCUCACGGAGGCGACCAGCAGCCGUCGAGGGGCGCCGGCCGCGAGCCCUAAUGUUUCAGACGGGGCCGCCAGGCGCGCCAGCACCUUCCUCUGGAGGCCGUCCCCCACCCAGCGGCGCCAACCGCCGCCGCCGCACUUACCGGGCCCGGGAAGGUGGCCGAGACCGCCUAGCCGUCCGCACUCCCUUCACGGAACAAACUACCACGCUCGAAGCGACCGCCUCGCCGCACCCGCCAGCCCGUUUCGCAUCGGCGCACGCGCGCGCAGACCCCGCCCCCCGGGCGCGCGGGCCCGCGCGUAGGGCACGCCGGGAGCGGGAGUUUUCCAGCCGCUUCCGGGUGACUGGGGCGGGGGUUGCUCGCUAGCAAGCUGGUGGUGAGUGGAUUCCUUUUUAAGAAAAAUGUAACAUAAGACUGUGGAAAUGUAGCUGGCAUGCAGGGGUGCAAGAGCAACUGACUCUGGGGAGUCCCAAACCGACCAGGUGCAGCCACUCACCCUUGACAAAACCCAAAGGCACAGAGACAAGUGGUGGUGAAGUAAGAGAGGAAUUUAUUUCCAUGAGGCCGACACCCGGAAGACCACAGACUAAUGGCUCAAAGGCUGUCACCGAAGUGCCAA